GUAUAUUCAGAGCACAGAGAUUCACUCUGAUCAUUAAAAUUAAACAUCAAAAAACAGAACUGUUGAGGAAAUGUUCCUCAUUCUGUCUCUCCACAGACUCAGCAGAGGACGGUCUGGCACUCCGUGGUCAGUUAACGCUGAAAGAUGAAUGUUUAUGAGGACGCGCCGUCGGGGAGCAGGAUGGAGAUGUCUGAGUGCGUGAAGACGGAGGACGUGUACCAGACUCUCCACCAGCCUCCUGCAGUGAAGAACCCAAACCCAACACACGGUGAGAACCCACAGAACCUUCAACCCAGCAGAGAAUUAGCAUUAAAAUCAGUCUCACGGUCACUGAUGAGCUGCUGGACGUUUCCUCUGUCCAUCUCUAACAGAGCCAGUGAGGAGCUUCAGGAUAAAGACUGUGCUGAUGGUCUUCAACUGCUAUUGAUCGUCAUCCUGAUAUUGAUCGUAAUCUUCUCUGCAAAAAAACAACAAAGUGCUGAUUUGAACAAACCACAAGCCUCUGGUGAGCAGCGCACCCACAGCCAGACACAAUCACACCUGCUUUCAGCUUUCCACCCCUCCGUCCUCUGUGCAAAAGUGUGAAAUGAAGUGUUGUUGUCUCAAACGCA
ensembl:lncRNA